ACCGUUGUAUUUUCCUGAGGAUAGGAAAUCUUGAAUGAAACUCAAUACAACCAGUAUUGAAUGAGGAUACAACUUUUGAUAAACCCAGGUUCGUCUACACAAUGAAUCAGUGAAAUUAUUGAAGACUUUGUUAGCUCAAUAUUUAUAGACUUUUAUCGAUAUCAUCAUCAUGAAUAGCCUAUCAUUCAGCGAGUUGUGUGGUUUGUUUUGUUGCCCUCCAUGUCCAUCAAAAAUUGCAGCCAAAUUAGCUUUCCUCCCACCUGAGCCCACAUACUCCCUGAUAGCUGAUGAAGCUGGGACCAAGUACAGUCUGCAUUUGACCGAAAGAGCCGAAUGGCAAUACACACAGCGAGAACUAGACUGUAUAGAAGUGUUCAUGACCAGAACCUCAAAAGGAAACAGGAUAGCUUGCAUGAUGGUCAGAUGUUCCCCCAAUGCUAAAUACACAAUGCUUUUUAGUCAUGGGAAUGCUGUUGAUCUUGGCCAAAUGAGCAGUUUUUACAUUGGUCUUGGUUCUCGAAUUAACUGUAAUAUUUUUAGCUUUGACUAUUCAGGAUAUGGAAAUAGCUCAGGAAAACCCUCAGAGAAGAAUUUAUAUGCAGACAUUGAUGCUGCAUGGCAAUCCUUGCGCAGCAGAUAUGGCAUAAGUCCUCAAAACGUUAUUUUGUAUGGUCAAAGUAUUGGCACAGUACCUACUAUUGACCUGGCUGCAAGAUACGAAGUUGGAGCAGCCAUUCUUCACUCACCUCUGAUGUCAGGAAUGAGAGUUGCAUUUCCAGAAACAAAGAGAACCUGGUUUUUUGAUGCUUUUCCAAGCAUAGACAAAGUGCCCAAAAUCACCUGUCCUGUACUAGUGAUACACGGAACAGAAGAUGAGGUGAUAGACUUUUCCCACGGUCUGGCCAUUUAUGAGAAAUGUCCGCGGGCAGUGGAACCACUAUGGGUGGAAGGGGCGGGCCAUAAUGACGUGGAACUUUACGGACAGUAUUUGGAACGACUCAAACAGUUUAUAAACAUUGAACUUUCUGUCAAUUGACAACUACUGCAACUUAGGGGGGAGGAUAUUAAUGUCGCCGGCGCAGACAACUGUGUUCAGGACCUUUGCGACUCGUUGUCUGCCGUGGUGACGGACACUUACACUUCUGAUGACGGCAAUGCAUUUAAAGUCAGGAAAGGCACUGGACGAAGAAUGAAGAAACAUAGAGUAAAAAUAAGGGGGGAUAGGGAUAAGAAAACAAAGGAGGAUUUAAGUUCACCUAGCAUAGUCGAUAGUCCAGAGCAGCCUGAUGACCAUAUGGAGGUCAAUAUUCAAGAAAGGAAAAAAGAAAUUGUAAUUCAUUAUGUGAAGGAAACUGCAAUUGAUGACCUUGCUCAGGCAAAAGAAGUUGUGGACUCGUCUGAACAAGACAAGAAUUCAACUUCUGAAGUCCAAGAAAACUAUGAAGAUGCCAAAGUCAUGAAAGAGUCUGAUUUUCAGCUCAAAGAAUGUCAGAAAAACAAUGGACAACCAAAGAGUGAGUUAGAAUGUCCAUCAGAGUGUGAAGGAAAUCAUGAGUUAGAAUGCCCAUCAGAAAGUUUAGGAAAUCAAGAUCUUACUGAGACUGAGAACUCAACUCCUGCUGAAAACCGUGUGUUCUGUGAUGUUCAUAUACAGAAUGUCACUGUAGAAGUGGCCAUUGAUGCGGACAAGAAGUCUGACGAUGAAAGCGAUAUCAUAGAAUCCACAGAUCUGUAAUGUGAAAUUUGGCAGCAGCUGCAUGUAGCUUAAACCUUCAGCAAUAGAAUAAUUUAAUGGGAUGUAAUGAUGCAACAUGCUUAACAUGUAGGUGUCUAUAAAAUCUUGUAAGAAUUGAAAAAGAAAUACCAAGAUGUGUGUUUUUUACAAUGUUACUAAUGAUUGUAAAUUUCAUAAGAAAAAUUUAUGGAAAUAUCUUAUAUGUGGGCAUGCUAAUGUAAUUUAUUUAAAUUUUUGUAUAGUGCACAUAACAUACUAACUCGACACACUUUGUUUUGUUUACCAAGAAGAGUUAUCCUUCUUUAGCUAAAAGUCUGGCUGCCUUUUGUUUACAGAAACAUGUCUUCUAAAUGAUUCAUUUUUGGAGCUCAGACUGAUGGAUUUAUGAUCAAUAGCAGUUGUUCACACUCUUUACUUCCUUUUAAUUUUUGAUAACAAAAGCAAAUGAUAAAGCAAAGCAAAAAUCUUUUAAGAUUUUGGAUACAUUUUGUUAUGUGUAUUAGACUAUAUAUCAAAAUAUAUGAUUGUCUGUUUGUAUUUUGUAUAGCAUACCUGUCAUUGCACGUAUAUUUUUCAGGUGCACUGGUUGAUCUAAAUGACCGACUAGCAUUGUUGAUUUAGGGGAGAAAGAGGUGGGGUAUGAUUGGAGAGUGAAACUCAAUUAGCUUGGGAGGACUUAGAUUUCUGUAAUUAGUCACUGAAAGCUUAAUAAGUAUGUACAUGUAAACAAGUGCUUCACUUGCUUUGUUUUUGACUGUUUACUGUAUGUUUGUGGUACUCAUCAUAACUAUGAGUCCAUUUGGAUUUCUGUGUAUACAAACAUUUUGUGUUGCUCUAUUAUAUAUAUGCAUGUUGAGAUUUAUAAUUUACAAAUUGUAUUAUAAUUACUGCAUAAACCUUACCUGAUAGUCUCUGUUUUGAUGCAUAUUUACAAGUCUUUCUCUCACUGUUUUAUUCUGGUAAAUAAUGUAAGACAUAAACAUAUGAUAUAGUGUAGUGUAGUGUAACUUGUGCGUUUU
rnacentral:misc_RNA from 1 species